rnacentral:rRNA from 1 species
CAAUAGCGUAUAUUAAAGUUGUUGCGGUUAAAAAGCUCGUAGUUGGAUUUCUGCUGAGAACGACCGGUCCGCCCUUUGGGUGUGUAUCUGGCUCUUUCUUGGCAUCUUCUUGGUGAACGUUGCUGCACUUGACUGUGUGGAGCGCUACCCAGGACUUUUACUUUGAGGAAAUUAGAGUGUUUCAAGCAGGCAUACGCCUUGAAUACAUUAGCAUGGAAUAAUAAGAUAGGACCUCGGUUCUAUUUUGUUGGUUUCUAGAGCUGAGGUAAUGAUUAAUAGGGAUAGUUGGGGGCAUUCGUAUUUAACUGUCAGAGGUGAAAUUCUUGGAUUUGUUAAAGACGGACUACUGCGAAANCANNNGCCAAGGUUGUUUUCAUNGA